rnacentral:rRNA from 1 species
GCAAGUCGAGCGGAAACGACAACAUUGACUCUUCGGAGGAUUUGUUGGGCGUCCAGCGGCGGACGGGUGAGUAAUGACUAGGAAAUUGCCUUGAUGUGGGGGAUAACCAUUGGAAACGAUGGCUAAUACCGCAUAAUGCCUACGGGCCAAAGAGUGGGACCUUCGGGCCUCUAGCGUCAAGAUAGGCCUAGGUGGGAUUAGCUAGUUGGUGAGGUAAUGGCUCACCAAGGCGACGAUCCCUAGCUGGUCUGAGAGGAUGAUC